rnacentral:tRNA from 1 species
GAUCUUAUAGUUUAAAGAAAAUAUUAAAUUGCAAAUUUAAAGUUAAAGUGUUUUAAGAUUU